GAUGAACGCUGGCGGCGUGCCUAAUACAUGCAAGUCGAGCGAACGGACGAGAAGCUUGCUUCUCUGAUGUUAGCGGCGGACGGGUGAGUAACACGUGGAUAACCUACCUAUAAGACUGGGAUAACUUCGGGAAACCGUAGCUAAUACCGGAUAAUAUUUUGAACCGCAUGGUUCAAAAGUGAAAGACGGUCUUGCUGUCACUUAUAGAUGGAUCCGCGCUGCAUUAGCUAGUUGGUAAGGUAACGGCUUACCAAGGCAACGAUGCAUAGCCGACCUGAGAGGGUGAUUGGCCACACUGGAACUGAGAGACGGUCCAGACCCCUACGGGAGGCAGGAGUAGGGAAUCUUCCGUGAUGGGCGAAAGCCUGACGGAGCAACGCCGCGUGAGUGAUGAAGGUCUUCGGAUCGGAAAACUCUGUUAUUAGGGAAGAACAUAUGUGUAAGUAACUGUGCACAUCUUGACGGUACCUAAUCAGAAAGCCACGGCUAACUACGUG
rnacentral:rRNA from 1 species